UGCUAGUCGAGCGCUUCCUAGCCAAUUUGGGAGCGCGGCGCACAGCUCAGUAACACGUGGCUAACCUGCCCUUGGGACGAGGACACCCCCGGGAAACUGGGGCUAAUCCUCGAUAGGUGAAGAACUCUGGAAUGAGUCUCCACCCAAAAGACGCUUACGCUAUGCUUGUAGGCGCCGCCCAAGGAUGGGGCCGCGACCGAUCAGGUUGUUGGUGAGGCAACGGCUCACCAAGCCUAUAACCGGUGCGGGCCGUGGGAGCGGGAGCCCGGAGAUGGGCACUGAGACAAGGGCCCAGGCCCUACGGGGCGCAGCAGUCGCGAAAACUUUGCAAUACACGAAAGUGUGACAGGGCUAUCCCGAGUGCCAUCCGCUGAGGAAGGCUUUUACCCAGUGUAGAUAGCUGGGGGAAUAAGGAGAGGGCAAGACUGGUGUCAGCCGCCGCGGUAAUACCAGCUCUCCGAGUGGUGUGGAUGUUUAUUGGGCCUAAAGCAUCCGUAGCUGGCCGGACAAGUCCCCUGUUAAAUCCACCGAUUCAAUCGUUGGUGUGCGGGGGAUACUGUUCGGCUAGGGGACGGGAGAGGCAGACGGUAUUUCCGGGGUAGGGGUGAAAUCCUAUAAUCCCGGGAAGACCACCAGUGGCGAAGGCUGUCUGCUAGAACGCGCCCGACGGUGAGGGAUGAAAGCUGGGGGAGCGAACCGGAUUAGAUACCCGGGUAGUCCCAGCUGUAAACGAUGCAGGCUAGGUGUUUGGGCGGCCACGUGCCGCUCUAGUGCCGCAGGAAGUCGUUAAGCCUGCCGCCUGGGGAGUACGGCCGCAAGGCUGAACUUAA
rnacentral:rRNA from 1 species